CUUAGGCUAUAGGGUACAAGAAACUUGAGAAGCAGUAUUAUGAUUGUAAGUUUUUGCUAAGCUUUCAUUCAUUUGCUCCAUAUUUUAAUAUUUUUCAUUUUUCACAAUUUCUCUCUUUAUUACUUCAUGUUCUUCUUUGAGUAGAAAUGUUCUUUUUACAUGAUCAUAUUGACUUUUGGGCAAAUUAUUGGGUGUCAAUCCCCUGGAUUUUAUUAAACUUUGUGGCUUCAGAAAUUGAUUGUGGUACUCUAAUGUAAGGUUUUUUGGAUCUCUGUAGAAAUGGUUUUAGUUGGGGUGCUUGUCAUUGGUUUGAAUAUGCAGGUGACAUCUAAGACUUCAGUUACUUAACCAAAUGUACACACGUACCCACCUUUUGCCCCCCUUUGCCCUAUAUUACAAAUACCCACCACCUCUUCUCUUCUCAUUGCCUCAAAUUAUUACCCUCUUUCCAUCAUCCCUUUAAGUUUAAUCUCAAGCCUUUUACUCUACCACAUUAGGUAGUUAUACUGUCACCACAAUUUUUAUUUAAUAUAUCACAUUUCAAUUGUAGUUAGCUUCUCAAUAUUUGCUCAUUGUAGCAACCGAUGAAGAUGAGUCAGGCGAUGAUGAAUAAUGCUGAUAAAUUUAUUGAUAUUGGCGGCAAGUGGAAAUACGGGUCUGGGUGUGGAUGGCCAAAAUAAGAAGGUCGCGAAGCCGUUUAUUAUAACCAAGUCUAGAGAGAGCUUGCAUAAUAGGAACACUACAAAUUCCUUGAAGCCCUUCAACUGCAAGUAUAUAUGUGAAUUUUUUUUUCUUUGUUGAAUAUAAUGAGG
rnacentral:lncRNA from 1 species